rnacentral:tRNA from 1 species
GGGGAUUUAGCUCAGUGGUAGAGCGCUUGCCUAGCAAGCACAAGGUCCUGGGUUCAGUCCCCAGUUCCA